rnacentral:lncRNA from 1 species
CUUCAAAUGGGGCAUGAUUAUAACUUUAAUGGCUCUUGCAGGUAGAACUGACUCGGGUGAUGUGGGAUGUUGGCAGCAGUUUAAUUACUUUAGGGUAAUGAUGCGAAUCCCAGUUAGGGGCCGAUUUUGGCAUUGCUGGCUAUUAUUUGCAAUAAUUAAUAUGAUUAAGCAUCCUGCCUCACAAUCUCUUUUAUUCUCCUCUCCGUACUAAUAUUGGGGGCCUGUCUUCUGAAAGUAUUGUUUGCUCAAAAUUUCCUUCCCUUCAUUUUUAUACGUAGGGCAGGAUAUAUACACCUGAGAACACAAGGACCUUAUUUAUGCAUAAAGAAUGUUUUUCUGGAAUCUUUUUGCACAGAUGAAGCAGAGGAGGAACUUUUCCACUUUCUUAUUCCCCUUUGUCUUGACUCCUUUCCUUGCUUGCUUGUGGUUUGUGUGGCUCUCUGGAGUGAAUCCACCGAUGAAUCAAUGGGCAUCUAUGCCAUGAUGCUAUCCAAGAAUGAUAACAGCCAGUGUUUGUUGUUUACUGUAGAAUGGCUGUAAGCACCUGACUUUUCUUAUCUCAGUUCACCAAAAUAACUGCAUGAUUCCUGUUUCACAGAUUUAAAGUAAAAUUGUACGGAUUAGACAACUUGCCUGAAAUAGCAUACCUAGGAAGCCAUAGCACAGACAUUUAAGUCCAGGUGGUCUGUGACUUCACAGGAAGAGCUUUUCCACACUAAUUUCUACUGAAAGACGGUAGUGCUAAGGAUAACUUCUCUCUCAAAAAUGACAGUCAUUCCUGCAAUUCAUAUCCUGCAACAUAUAGAGACUUUAUUAUUUUAUUAUAUUAUAUGCUAAGGCCAUCCUAGAGGCUCAGACACAGGAGAAAACUAGAUACAUCCUGGCCCUCAAAGUGGUCAUGGCUUUCAGGAGAAAAUUAGAGCAGCAUGUGAUGAUGUUAUGAUGGAAAAUUAUAGAAAAUGUCUUCUAAAAAUAAUGGUAAUGUGGUCACUCAGAGGAAUUUGACUAAAAAAAAAAAAUCUCAGUGAACUCCAGCCACUGGAUCAUUUUCUGAAAAAAUAGGAAGAAAAGCCAAGGGACAGGACAUAGAUGAUACCCUCACUAUCAUCAAAAAUUAGCAAUCACUGAGCAUAACCUGCAGUCGAGUGAGAAGUUUAUGGAUUCUGGAACCCCACAGACUUGGUCUCAAG